CAGCCGCCGCGGGAACACGUAGGUGGCAAGCGUUGUCCGGGAUUAUUGGGCGUAAAGGGCUCGCAGGCGGUUUCUUAAGUCUGAUGUGAAAGCCCCCGGCUCAACCGGGGAGGGUCAUUGGAAACUGGGAAACUUGAGUGCAGAAGAGGAGAGUGGAAUUCCACGUGUAGCGGUGAAAUGCGUAGAGAUGUGGAGGAACACCAGUGGCGAAGGCGACUCUCUGGUCUGUAACUGACGCUGAGGAGCGAAAGCGUGGGGAGCGAACAGGAUUAGAUACCCCAGUAGUCCCUGUCUCUUAUAC
rnacentral:rRNA from 1 species